rnacentral:rRNA from 3 species
GGACUACUCGGGUUUCUAAUCCCGUUCGCUCCCCUGGCUUUCGCGCCUCAGCGUCAGAAGAGGUCCAGCAGGUCGCUUUCGCCACCGGCGUUCCUUCCGAUAUCUACGCAUUUCACCGCUCCACCGGAAGUUCCACCUGCCCCUACCUCCCUCCAGAGUCCCAGUAUCCAAGGCACGUUUCCGGUUGAGCCGAAAGAUUUCACCCCGGACUUGGGAAUCCGCCUACGCGCCCUUUAAGCCCAGUGAUUCCGAACAACGUUCGCACGGUUCGUCUUACCGCGGCUGCUGGCAC